AUGAUAUCAAAAAAAAAAUAAGGAAGAAGGAAGAUUUUACCUAUUUAAGUUUUUUUCUCUAAGAGAUAUGGCUAAGCAGGUGUCACUUGCGGGUGAUUCUGUAAUAGACUCAUAAACCCAGUAUUAGACUGUUAGCUAAACUAGCAGGGACACACCAGAUACCUCAUCAAAAGAAAAAGAAAAAGAAACA